rnacentral:lncRNA from 1 species
CAUCAACCAAACAUAUAUAUACAUUGAAAUUCAACUUUUACAACCAUAGUGGCAUGCCAAAAACCAUUUAUCAUGAAUAUACAUACUCGGUUUGCCAAUCAAAGAAAAUGAACCCAAUACACAAUAGGGUUUCAUUCAACAAGCUAAACAAAAGCCAUUUACACUAGCUCAACUUGGCAAUCGACUAUCCAAAUCAGUCCCAAAAGUAAUUAUAUCCCUGUAAGGAAAACAAAUGGAACGGGAUGAGCUAAAGCCCAGUGAGUUACUACCACAUAAGCAGUAAAGAUCACAUAAGCAUAAUCUUUCAUUUCAAGUACACACUUAAGAAGUAAACAAGUCGGUAAAAGGAUACGGAUGGCUCUCAAGAGCCCGUUUCCACGCUUACAUUCUUGAUCCAAUCUCAUUGACCCUCCAUCAAUGUUUAAGAAUACCCGACCGUAGAUCUCACUUCACUCCAUUCCUUCCACCAAACAUACCCCAACCGGGCCCGCACUCCAAUUCAGUAGCUUUUGGUAAUACUCGAGUAUACCGGAACCAAGAGUCUCAUUACUACAAGGUUCCUCAGUACAGUCCCCGUGGUAUGUCACUUAUCACGACCAAGCCCUUGCCGGCUCGAUCCAAAUGACCACCAAACGGGGUUGAGCUCAGUAAUACAGUGAGGUCGUUGGACAUCGUCCAAACAACACCAAAUCAGUUUUCCAAGAUUGCAAUUCAAUAACUCAUAUAGCCAGUGCAGUAUUUCAGUAUAACAGUAAGCAGUCAUGAAUGAAAUCACAAGGGGUGAGGGCGGUCAAGUACACCCUCACCUCAAUCACUUCCAAUAACCAAUUAAGCCUUCAAGGCAUCAAAUACACAUAGAGCAAAGCCAUAUUAUAACAAGUAAGUGAGUAGUAUACUCACUAAGUGAGAAAGUGGUGUUUCAUACACCGAGGUCACCAAGACGUCGUGAGCUACCGUCACGCCCUAGAAUCACGCAACAAAUGCAAUGAGACUCGAUAACGAGUCGUAUAGCAAUGCUGAACACAACCCCAAUAGGGUUUCAUAUGCAUGUACAAGCAUAAUAGCAAACCAGAAAUUAAGAAAGGGCUUGAACUUAAGCCUUCAUAGGAAAACCGGUUUUGACGUCAUAAUGCGGUAAUGGUACAACUCUCACUACAAUUAUCGGUUGGGGGUGUAAGACCCACCGUUUCGAAGCUAUGGAACAGGGCUACAAUAAUGUAGAAGACCACUCAAUUCAGUUCCUAACACAACUUAGUCAAAAGUGCCAAAUACUAAACCAGAAUCACCAAAACAGGUUUGCAAAACACAGAAAACUGUAAUCGGUAUAUCUCAGUCCAUACAAGUCCAAAUGCCGAAAUUCCAAAGGCAUAUGUUAGCUCAGACAUUCAGCUACAUUUCAUCAGAAGACACCAACUUCAAAAUCCAAACCAAUUCCAGUCAAAAGGGCCAAUUACUAACGCAGUUUUCGCAUUCUGAUCAAAACAGAACAGCUACAGUAAAAACGGCAUAACUCACUCUACACUCAUCCAAAUGACCUGAAAUUUUACAGGCACCUCAAACACAUCAAUACCUACAACUUUCAUGUUUUGAGCAAAGUCUAAUUCGGCCUCUAACCCAGUGAUCUAAAACCGGACAGAAUUGGGAUUUUAUGAACCCUAACUUUCCAUUUUUCACACCAAAUCCAAAAUUGAUUGCAUUUAACCACAAUUCACACUCACUAGAGUCAUUUCCAACCAUUACAAUUCAUCAUACAAGCCCCCAACAUCAAGAUCAUAUUAAACCAGAAAAAUUCCCAAUAAAAUAAAAACUUCACCAAAACAAGCCAAAUCAAGAGAUAAAUCACAUUUUCAAACACUCAAGCCACUUCUAAGCAUCAUAUAACCAUUAUUAGAGGUAGUAGGGUGUUCAAGCAACACUUACCAAGAAAUCAAGAGAGAGAGGGAUUGUGGACACCUUUGCUCUUCAAACAAACUUCACUACAACCCUUACUAGCACUAGAAGGUAAGGUUUUAUGGAGUGAAAUCUAACUAAACACUUGAUUUGGUGGAUUUUGGACCAAUUGGAAGCUUGAAGUUGAUGAAGUUUCUUCUUUCUUCUUGCUAGAAGGGCCGGCCAACACAAGGUAAGAAAAUGGU